rnacentral:rRNA from 1 species
ACUCCUACGGGAGGCAGCAGUAGGGAAUAUUGCACAAUGGGGGAAACCCUGAUGCAGCGACGCCGCGUGAGUGAUGAAGGCCUUCGGGUCGUAAAGCUCUGUCGCAGGGGAAUAACACAAUGAAUGUACCCUGCAAGAAAGGAUCGGCUAACUUCGUGCCAGCAGCCGCGGUAAGACGAGGGAUCCUAGCGUUGUUCGGAAUUAUUGGGCGUAAAGCGGAUGUAGGUGGCUUUGUAAGUCAGAUGUGAAAGCCCAGGGCUCAACCUUGGAAGUGCAUUUGAUACUGCGAAGCUUGAGUGUCGGAGAGGUUACUAGAAUUGUUGGUGUAGUGGUGAAAUACGUAGAUAUCAACAGGAAUACCGGAGGCGAAGGCGGGUAACUGGCCGAACACUGACACUGAGAUCCGAAAGCGUGGGGAUCAAACAGGAUUAGAUACCCUGGUAGUCCACGCCGUAAACGAUGGAUACUUGUUGUUAGAGGUAUUGACCCCUUUAGUGACGAAGCUAACGCGUUAA